UACGAAGGGGGCUAGCGUUGCUCGGAAUCACUGGGCGUAAAGCGCGCGCAGGCGGCACUGUAAGUAAGGUGUGAAAUAUCCCUGCUCAACGGGGAGGGUGCACUUUAGACUGCAGAGCUAGAGGACGGUAGAGGGGGGUGGAAUUGCUGGUGUAGCGGUGAAAUGCGUAGAGAUCAGCAGGAACACCCGUGGCGAAGGCGGCCCCCUGGGCCGAACCUGACGCUGAGGCGCGAAGGCUAGGGGAGCGAACGGGG
rnacentral:rRNA from 1 species